UACAGCCAUAUCACAUAGAAACACUGGUUCCCACACAAUCACCAAAGUUAAGCAAUGUUGAACCUGGUCAGCAUCUAGAUGGGUGACCACUUGGGAAUACCAGGUGAUGUAAG